CCUUCACGCCAAACAUCCCCUUCUCUCACCUCUCUUCUUCUUUUAACCCUAACCCUAGUAGCCGCUUAGGAUUUCUCCUCUCUCUCAUGCCAGAAAUGGCAAUGGCGCAGAGAAGAGUAGGCCCGUUCAGUCCCUGCACGUCCAUAUGAGGUAGCAUUAAGGACUACUCUCCUUUUGACCACUCAUUCUCACCAAACACAACCUAAGCUAGGAAAGAAGCACGAAAGGCUUUCAAAUCCAUUCUUACUCGUGGCUGCAUCCAAAAAAGGUUAGCUUUGAUCUCGUUAUUACUUUUCUUUAGUUUUUCUUUGUUUAGUUUAAGUGUUAGUGAUAACCUGCCUAGUUAGGUAUUGAUAAUGUGAGCUAUGCUUAGUUAAAAUGUUAUUAUGAGAAUGCUAUGCUAGUUUUAUUGUAUCUGUGAUAUGUGUAUGGUUAUGAUUGAUCAUUAGUGCCUUUGUGAUUUAGUUUAGAUGUGAUUCUGUCCUGUUAGCCUAAAGCAGUCUCUAAUAAUGGGUUGACCGAUGACUAAUCAUUUAGAUCAAUAAUGCCUGAUUAUAAGACCCGAUGGUUGAGUUCAAAUAGAUCUGUUAUGAUUUGCUUAAUUACAUAUCAAGGUCUAAUUAAUUUAACAAAGUGACACACAUUAGUUUAAGGAUUUUAGGCAUGAUUGAAACUGGAAGUGAGAAGGUUUUGAAUUAGUGUUUGAUUACUGAUUGUUGAAGAUUGAGUGGGAUUAAAGUAAUCUGUCCUAGAGGAGUCUGACGUGGAUAGGUUUUAAAGGUGAUUUGUCUUUUCAUUUUAUGAAAGGGUGAGAGGAUCAUGUGUGUGGGUGCAUAAGUUAUAAACCACUUGGCAAUGGGGAUAGCCUUUUUAAAGGCAUAUUAAGAGAAGAAGGACAAUAAAAUAACCAAGUUUCACUUGGUUCACAAUGCUUUCUUCCAAAUAAGAGGUGGCCACGGCACACCUCAUAUGCCUAUGGGGAAAAUCCUAUGAUCAUCCACACUGUGAUCUUUCUCUUCCCAUUCAUUAAAUCCAGGGAUGCUAAGAAUGGACUUAUCUUGUUUUCCCUUUUCUAAUACCUGGUACUAGUUUAAGACAAGCUUGUUGGUGUCUUUGUUCAAGAUAAUUCACUUCCUGCUUAAGCCUUUAUAGCUUUGAUGAAAAAUUAGGAUUAAAUGGUGUUUUUAAGAGGUGGUUUAAAAUUUGGGAUGUGCAUCAUGUCAUAAAGUCUGGAUGCUCGCAUAAGUUGUCUGUCUGUUUCCCUUCUUCUCUUAAAACCCAGAAAGAUUAGGGGGUGCAAAGUUUUUUUUUUGUGUGUGUUUAAGCUUGACAUAUUACAGUACUGUUGGUUUUGUCCCAUGUGCAUCCUUGUGUCCUAAGUUUAAUCAGUUUAGCAGCUUCUGUUUGGAAUUCUACUUUGAAUAUGCCAUGGUUUGUUGUACACAAAUCCUUCUGUAAUUAAGUAUGCUGCUCAGGUUAGCAUCUGGUGCAAAUUUUGAUUUUUUGCCAUACUUAUUGAAGUCUGCUUGAACUAUAGCAUAAUCACUAAUAUAGCUAGGUUAUGUUCAACGCACGUUCUUUGUAAGAAACUCAAGUAUAAGUUUGCCUUAGCUUAGGUUUGAUCAUAAUGAUGAAAAGAAAAGAAACUAGGCUUAAUGAUUAAGACAAGUUUAAAAAUUAGCCUAAGAUGAGAUAUAAAUAGGGAUAUUUAUGAGUUUUGUUAAUAAGAUGUGUAUGUAUUUGUGGUAUAUCAGCGGGUAUAUUGCGUAUAUUUACAAGUAUAUUUCCCACAUAGGUUGUAUAUCAAUAUCAAAGGGAUAGAAUUUCAUUAGGCUUCAAUACCUGGGCAAAAAAUCCAGAUUUUGUAGGUAGUUGGGCUUGGCCCACUACAAGUUUAAUAGAUAAGCCCUUGAUUCACACUAAGUCAAAAAGAGAAGAACAAAAUGGGGAUCUUCCGUGGACUUGUUAAUUUUGAAAUAAGGGGCUGCCAUGCCCAAUUCCAGGAUAUAACCAAGUACCCAUAUCAACUCUGUUAUGUAUGGUGUAUAUAUAUAUAUAUAUAUAUAUCUGUGUGUGUGUGUGGGUGUGUAUGAUAAGUUCAGUAAAUUAUUCUAACCGGGUUCUAUUUUUCUCCUUCCUCUUAUUCGAUGCAUGCCACUUGGGCCGGUCCAAACCGAACCUGCUGGGCUACAGCCCAACAGUGUCAAUUCUUUCGCAAAACAAAAUGAGCCUAAUGAAGGAGAACGGAAGCAAAUAUUCGAAGAUACGUAGAAGGUCCAACCAUGGGUAAAAAUGGUCAACUAGGGGCUUGGUACUCCCCUAGCCUAACUUACUUUUACUUAUGCAUUUAUAUUUGUGAUGUUGUAUUACAUUUGCAUAUUUGCAAAAAAACUUGUAUUAUUGGAA